GCUAGGGAACCCGGGUGAAAGCCUGGGGUGCCCCGCGAGGGGAGCCCUAGCACAGGUGCUGCAUGGCCGUCGUCAGCUCGUGCCGUGAGGUGUUGGGUUAAGUCCCGCAACGAGCGCAACCCCGCCGUUAGUGCCAGCGGUUCGGCCGGGCACUCUAACGGGACUGCCCGCGAAAGCGGGAGGAAGGAGGGGACGACGUCUGGUCAGCAUGGCCCUUACGGCCUGGGCGACACACGUGCUACAAUGCCCACUACAAAGCGAUGCCACCCGGCAACGGGGAGCUAAUCGCAAAAAGGUGGGCCCAGUUCGGAUUGGGGUCUGCAACCCGACCCCAUGAAGCCGGAAUCGCUAGUAAUCGCGGAUCAGCCAUGCCGCGGUGAAUACGUUCCCGGGCCUU
rnacentral:rRNA from 1 species